UAGGAGCCGUGAGAUUAAGCCAUCGCGGCAGGUGCUCACGUUAAGCCCACUGACUUUCAUGUCCCUUUCUACUAUCUAGCGAAACCACAGCCAAGGGAACGGGCUUGGAAUAAUUAGCGGGGAAAGAAGACCCUCUUGAGCUUGACUCUAAUCGGGCAGUGUAAGGAGACAUAAGAGGUGUAGAAUAAGUGGGAGAUAUUAGACUUCGGUUUGGUAUCGACAAUGAAAUACCACUGCUCUUAUUGUUUCCUUACUUACUUGAUUAAAUGGAACGUGUAUCAUUUCCUAGCCAUUAUACGGAUAUAAUUAUUAUGUCUUAUGGUAUUGGGUUUUGAUGCAAGCUUCUUGAUCAAAGUAUCACGAGUUUGUUACAUAAUCGCAAACACAUUCUUUAAUGAGAGAAUGCAUUUAUGUAUUAUUGAUUUAAAAAUUUGGUAUAACUCCAAUUACUCAGGU
rnacentral:ncRNA from 1 species